AUUUUUUUCGACCCAAUCGUGACAUAGCAUAAUUUAGAUCUAUUGUAAAUAUAUGGUGUGUGAUGUGUUCCUAUGUUUUUAACGAAUUGAAACAUGGGCCUAAUGUAGUAGUAGUAGUAAUAGUACGUUAGAAAAAUGCAACGGAAGUAGCAUAAUUCAUUAUCGCUGUUUAUUUGUAAUAAAGGAAAUUAUUAGAUAUGCUAUCUUAGGAUAACAAGAUAAAUUGAGCUUGAAUAAACACUUCAGGAGGAAAUGCCAAAUCGGUUCUUAAGCAGAUAAUCGAAAGUUAAAAACUUUUUUUUUUUUUUUUUUAACGUUAAGGAAUUCCUACAGAAGUGUCCACCAUGUUUUAUGAUCGAAACAAGCUGCUCCAUCUAUCGAUGAACUGGGAGAAUAUCUCUCUCUUGUUAUAUAUAUUAUUUUUGUCUGUUACUAAUCCCUCAAAUUAAUGGAGGUUACCGUUCUAUCAACGUUAUUAAAACUAAGGAUUUUAGCUAACGUAACCGGUCGGAAUAAAAAUUAGUACUCUAGUCGGAAUAUUAAAGUGGCAGAUAAAACAGGAUGAGUAUAAUGCAGUUGCACUUCAUCAAACACUCCCAUGCUGUCUCACGACUUCCGUUCUGGACACUUCCAUUUUCAUCCUUGAGGGGUUCCUACUUCAGGAUGGAAGAAAGGUCAGAGUUUAAUAGCCACCUAUCUCUUUCCACAGAUUUUUUUUCUUUUUAUCCCCGUUUCGUCACUUUAUAUAUUUAUAUAAUCUGUAAUAAUACUACUACCAAUAAAAAUUCCGCUUUAAAAAAGUCGCUAAACUAAAUGCGGAUGUGGAAACACUCUUAAUUAAUUCGCAUCAAAGAAAGGAAUUUGUUUCUUAUCUCGAUAUUCAGUUAGGUUUGAGUAAUUAUGAACGUAUGAAGAAGAAAAAAAAAAAAAAAACUAGGAACGUUUCGGUAAUUUAUAUCGAGUUCGUUAAACUGUUUUGUUUCGUGAAAAGAAUAGUUUUCGCGGUUUUCUCAUUCACUGCAGAAAAUCGUUCAACCAAUAAAUCGUUUUUUUUUUUUUUUUUUUUUUUAAAACGCGAAAUUAAAAUAUUUGGUUAUAAAUAAGUUUUAAGUUCGCUCUUAUA
rnacentral:lncRNA from 1 species